UACGUAGGUGGCAAGCGUUAUCCGGAUUUAUUGGGCGUAAAGCGAGCGCAGGUGGUUUAUUAAGUCUGGUGUAAAAGGCAGUGGCUCAACCAUUGUAUGCAUUGGAAACUGGUAGACUUGAGUGCAGGAGAGGAGAGUGGAAUUCCAUAUGUAGCGGUGAAAUGCGUAGAUAUAUGGAGGAACACCGGUGGCGAAAGCGGCUCUCUGGCCUGUAACUGACACUGAGGCUCGAAAGCGUGGGGAGCAAACAGG
rnacentral:rRNA from 1 species